rnacentral:rRNA from 1 species
GGCUCAGGAUGAACGCUAGCUACAGGCUUAACACAUGCAAGUCGAGGGGCAUCAGUUUGGUUUGCUUGCAAACCAAAGCUGGCGACCGGCGCACGGGUGAGUAACACGUAUCCAACCUACCUCAUACUCGGGGAUAGCCUUUCGAAAGAAAGAUUAAUAUCCGAUAGCAUAUAUUUCCCGCAUGGGUUUUAUAUUAAAGAAAUUCGGUAUGAGAUGGGGAUGCGUUCCAUUAGUUUGUUGGGGGGGUAACGGCCCACCAAGACUACGAUGGAUAGGGGUUCUGAGAGGAAGGUCCCCCACAUUGGAACUGAGACACGGUCCAAACUCCUACGGGAGGCAGCAGUGAGGAAUAUUGGUCAAUGGACGAGAGUCUGAACCAGCCAAGUAGCGUGAAGGAUGACUGCCCUAUGGGUUGUAAACUUCUUUUAUAAAGGAAUAAAGUCGGGUAUGCAUACCCGUUUGCAUGUACUUUAUGAAUAAGGAUCGGCUAACUCCGUGCCAGCAGCCGCGGUAAUACGGAGGAUCCGAGCGUUAUCCGGAUUUAUUGGGUUUAAAGGGAGCGUAGAUGGAUGUUUAAGUCAGUUGUGAAAGUUUGCGGCUCAACCGUAAAAUUGCAGUUGAUACUGGAUAUCUUGAGUGCAGUUGAGGCAGGCGGAAUUCGUGGUGUAGCGGUGAAAUGCUUAGAUAUCACGAAGAACUCCGAUUGCGAAGGCAGCUUACUGGAUUGUAACUGACGCUGAUGCUCGAAAGUGUGGGUAUCAAACAGGAUUAGAUACCCUGGUAGUCCACACAGUAAACGAUGAAUACUCGCUGUUUGCGAUAUACAGUAAGCGGCCAAGCGAAAGCGUUAAGUAUUCCACCUGGGGAGUACGCCGGCAACGGUGAAACUCAAAGGAAUUGACGGGGGCCCGCACAAGCGGAGGAACAUGUGGUUUAA